GAGGAGCCAAAUGAGCCCGGUACCACUCUGAAGAGCUGCAGGAUGAAGCUGUGUGACGUCUUCCGUCCAGACAAAACGCAGAUUUAGGCAAAUGUGAGCCUGAGCAGAAAUACGAUUGCUGAUCGGGUUUGUGAGACAGCCACCGAUUUAAGAACACAGUUGUGUGAAAGAAGCAAAAACUUCACUCCAUACUCUCUUGCUGUGGAUGAAAGUAGACAUGAUGGACACUGCACAGCUGGCCAGCUUCAUCCGUGGAGAGGAAAUAUUGAACAUUAAAUCGAUGCACGGGACAACGACAGGAAAAUACAUUUUUUAAAACGUAUGUCAAAGUGUAACGACGUGAAACUGUCCUGGGACAAACUUGUUGGACUUACAACAGAUGGAGCGCCGGUGCUGUGCGGUGAAAAAAGUAGUCAGCAGGAUGCGAGUAAAGAUGCAGGAGAAAUGUACCGGUGAGUUAUCAGCAUAUCACCGCAUCACACACCAGGAAAGGCUGUGUGGUCCUAAAAAUGGAGCAUGUAAUGGUCACCGUGACACAGACCGUACAUUUUAUCUGAGCUAAAAGUUUAAGUCACCGUCAGUUUCAGUCUUUUAUGUGGGAAAUAGAUUCAGAGUUUGCCCACAUUCCUUCAUGCAGAGCUCCGCUGGCUGAGUCGGGAUAAAAGUUCUCAAUAGAGUUUUUGAGCUCAGCAAGGAAACCUGUCAGUUCAUGGACAUGUAUGAUACGGUGAAGGCGUUUCAAGCUGUCACUAAUGCACCAGUGCAGCCUGCCUCACUUCCCCUGUUGCCAAGUAAUGUUGAACCAAGUCAGCGCACUUUGCUGAGCUGCACCUGUGCAGAUUCAGAUGCAGCUGCAGUGUAAUGAUGCACUCAGGGAAAGCACGACACUUGACCGCACAGUUUAUUAGCUCCACUCCUGCAGCAACGCCCAGCUCCGUCUACAUGCGGCUCCAACCUUGUGUUUGCUUUCAUUUACUUUUUCUGGGGUUUUUGGCAGCAUGUUCAUAAUUCUAACUUGCAUAAUUUUGACAGGAUAUUUAAAGUUGUUUUUUUUAAGUUUAUUUGAUCUGGAAUUAUAUUCCUGUCUGUUUUUAUUCAUAUUUAUGUAAAAAAAAAAACAGUUUUAGUGUGUUCAAUAAAUGUUUAUCUUGUUUGGCCCCCGACCUAAAGUGUGCCUUGAGUUUGACGCCCCUGGCAUAGAUCAUCGUGAUGUUGUUUAUUUUGUUGCUCUUUGUUUCCUUCUGCUUGUUUUCUCUUUUUUCUUUCUCAACAGGUGUUUUUUCUAAAAUAAAUAAAUAAAUAAAUAAAAUAAAAUAAAAUAAAAAGAAGUGUUUAAUAGAGUUUGGGAGGGAGGGAAGUUGCCACAAAGCUGGAAGGAGGCAGUGAUAAUAUCGAUACGUAAACCAGGGAAGGACAAAGCCUGGAAACUACAGACCAGCAGCUUUAACAUCCAACGUCUGCAAAAUAAUGGAGAGAAUGAUGACAGGGCAAAAAAGGACUCCAAAUUAAAAAAAAGAUAAAAAUGAAAGACUGGUGCAUUGUGCAGUUUAGCACUGGUGGUACAGAAAUAGUCCCUAGAUCAUGGAUAAAUGGGGAGAAAUUGUCAUGGCCUCCAUAUCCUCCGUGAGACACAUUCAGGAUCCACGACGCAGUAAAGAGGAGAGUUCAUCCUGGUGCAACAUGGCUCACCUAUGCACCAGUCCGACUUCUAAUAAGCCAUGACCAAAUCCCCUGUACACAUAGUGACUCAGAGGAUGAGCAGCCCACAAAAAAAUGGUUUCCCCAGGCCCCUCGAGUGAAAGUACCAGACCUGACGAGAGCUGUUAACGAACUCCGUGAGGAGGUCAGAGCCAUCCGCAAUACCGGCUGCAAUGAAUCGGUAGAUGCUGGGGUACUGCCUCUGGAUUUGCCUUUGCACAACAUUGAGGAGCUAAACAAUGCAGAGCCAGCUCUUCAAUCACAAGAGGCAAAUAAGGCAAUGGUGAGACGCUUUGCCUUGAUUGGAGCCUGACGCAGCAGUUAGGGGCAAACUCUAUGUCCGAGUUUGUCUUUGCACAAGCAGUGCAGAAAUGGCUCCGAUACGCCCCAGAUCGUUUGGGUGGUGCAGGACGCACAUCAUGCAAAAAAUUACAAACUUCUGUGAAUCAUAUAAACGUAAAUAGGAAACUGUCUUUUAAUAAAGUAUUUAGC
ensembl:lncRNA